rnacentral:rRNA from 1 species
AGAGUUUGAUCCUGGCUCAGGAUGAACGCUAGCGGCAGGCUUAACACAUGCAAGUCGAGGGGCAGCGGGUGUAGCAAUACAUGCCGGCGACCGGCGCAAGGGUGCGUAACGCGUGAGCAAUCUGCCCGUAUCAGGGGGAUAAGCGAUGGAAACGCCGUCUAAUACCGCAUAACACCAAUGAUGGCAUCAUCGAUGGUUGAAAGCUUCGGUGGAUACGGAUGAGCUCGCGAGACAUUAGUUAGUUGGCGGGGUAACGGCCCACCAAGACCGCGAUGUCUAGGGGAACUGAGAGGUUGGUCCCCCACACUGGAACUGAGACACGGUCCAGACUCCUACGGGAGGCAGCAGUGAGGAAUAUUGGACAAUGGCCGGAAGGCUGAUCCAGCCAUGCCGCGUGAAGGAAUAAGGUCCUAUGGAUUGUAAACUUCUUUUGUACGAGAGCAAUAAGUGUCACGAGUGACACGAUGAGAGUAUCGUACGAAUAAGCAUCGGCUAACUCCGUGCCAGCAGCCGCGGUAAUACGGAGGAUGCGAGCGUUAUCCGGAUUUAUUGGGUUUAAAGGGUGCGUAGGCGGGAUUUUAAGUCAGCGGUGAAACGCAAGGGCUCAACCCUUGACCUGCCGUUGAAACUGGAGUUCUUGAAUGCGGAUGCUGUGGGAGGAAUGUGUGGUGUAGCGGUGAAAUGCAUAGAUAUCACACAGAACACCGAUUGCGAAGGCAUCUCACAAAUCCGUGAUUGACGCUGAGGCACGAAAGUGUGGGGAUCAAACAGGAUUAGAUACCCUGGUAGUCCACACUGUAAA